GAUGAACGCUAGCGGCAGGCUUAAUACAUGCAAGUCGAGGGGCAGCACGGUUAGCAAUAACUGGUGGCGACCGGCGCACGGGUGCGUAACACGUAUACAAUCUACCUUAAACAGGGGGAUAGCCUUUCGAAAAGAGAGAUUAAUACCCCGUAAUAAAUUGAACGGCAUCGUUUGAUUUUGAAAGCUCCGGCGGUUUGAGAUGAGUAUGCGUCUGAUUAGCUAGUUGGUGAGGUAACGGCUCACCAAGGCGACGAUCAGUAGGGGAUCUGAGAGGACUAACCCCCACACUGGGUACUGAGACACGGACCAGACUCCUACGGGAGGCAGCAGUAAGGAAUAUUGGGUCAAAUGGAGGCAACUCUGAACCAGCCAUGCCGCGUGCAGGAUGACGGCCCUAUGGGUUGUAAACUGCUUUUAUACAAGAGAAAACCCUGGUACGUGUACCAGGUUGAUAGUAUUGUAAGAAUAAGCAUCGGCUAAACUUCGUGCCAGCAACCGCGGUAA
rnacentral:rRNA from 1 species